rnacentral:lncRNA from 1 species
GUGGGGGGGGUCACCUUUAGCAUCCUAGUGCUGGUAGGGAGAAAGACAAGAGGACCCCUGGAGAUCUGCAGCCAGCCAGGCAGCCCAGCCAGGGUUGGUGAACUCCUGGUUUACCGAGAGACAGUGUCUCAGCAUCAUAGGGUAGACAGUGACAGAAGACACUAGCCAUGUGCACACACACACACACACACACACACACACACACACACACACUCGUGCACACACUCAUGACCCUUCCAACUAUCCUAAACUGUCCCUAGUCCAUUUGGCUGAGUCAGUGGAAGAGGUAACUGUCACAUAGUUCCAUAGCCCUCGUUUCUGAUGUGGCCUCGAGUCUCCAGAGACCAGGCAGUCCCCAGGGGCUAUGCUCCUAGCAAGCCUCCAGAAGACAUUUCUGAAGAGAGGACCCCCCCACACACACACACACACACACUUCUGCUCACACUUGGAGGCUGUUGCUGACCCACUCAGGACGGCAGACUUGCUGAUGAUAGCAACACCACCCUCCGCCCUCUGGCUCUUGGCACUUCCAGCACCAUGUCACUUGUGACCCAAUGAGUUAGCAGACAGGCAGCCCUGGGUUGAAAGAGCUUAAGACACUGACCUUAGGCCACACUCAGGAACUGUGACAGUAUCCGGCCAAUGCUAACAAUUUCCACCAUCCUCCUAUGCUCUGCCCACCAGUCCUGCCUGCCUCAGGCUGCCCCCAUCCCAGUGGCUUUCCCAUAGUGUGUGUGGGGGGAGGGGGUGGAUAUCACCUUCCUCUCUAUGUUCUGUGACAGUAAUAAAGUACUGGACUUUU